AAAUUCAAUCACGGUAUGUACUUCACAGUGAAGAUAGACUGCGAAAAUUUUGUCGAAUUUCCUUGAAUUGAUUUAAUUCACUCAGCGUGGUUAGGUGCCAGAUUCUCUGGUUUAUACAGCUAUGUUUCCAAUAUGGAGAAUGGUGGAGAAACUGGACAAAACUCUCAUUAGUUUUUCCCUAUCAUCGCUCUUAAGCAGGGUGUUACAUGACUUGAAAGUAAAAUGGGUUGUAAAAGUGAUAGAUAUUGAAUAGAUAGUUGCAGAGUUUUUGUGCACUUUGGUACAUCUAUCUAACUUAUACGAUAGCUAAUUUUGCGCUUGCUGUAUCUUUGAUUAUUGUAGUAAACAAAAAAGAAUCUAAAUGAAGUGAUAGCUUUAGCCAAGAAA